rnacentral:rRNA from 1 species
UACAUGGGGUGCAAACGUUGCUCGGAAUUAUUGGGCGUAAAGCGCGCGUAGGCGGUUACUCAAGUCGGAUGUGAAAGCCCUCGGCUUAACUGAGGAAGUGCACCCGAAACUGAGUAGCUAGAGUACCAAAGAGGGUCGCGGAAUUCCCGGUGUAGAGGUGAAAUUCGUAGAUAUCAGGAGGAACACCGGUGGCGAAGGCGGGUCUCUGGGCCGUAACUGACGCUGAGGAGCGAAAGCGUGGGGAGCGAACAGG